UGAUAGUAUGCACGCACGUAUCGUUGGA
rnacentral:sRNA from 1 species